UACAGAAGUACCUGACUAUGCCGGACUUUUGUGCAGCCUAUGGCUGCUCUAAUCACCGCAGUCUGCAAACAAGAACCCGUGGGAUCACCUUUCACCUGUUUAAGGCAGUGGGAACUCGCCCUAAGAAGAGACGGUUUUGUUUCCUGUGACAGGACACUGCUCUGCAGUGAGCACUUCAGGAGUGAGGAAUUUGACCGGACAGGGCAGACUAAUGGCGAAUCGCUACCACUAGGAGCAUAUAUCGCCACCUACUAUGUAUUUAUUAAAUCUUCAUGUUCCAUGAGACGCAGCACUAUGUUCCCCACAUAUGUUUAUGUUUGAUCAGUCUAAUAAACCCAUAACAUGGUUGUGAAAGAAUACCAAA